rnacentral:rRNA from 1 species
GAUGAACGCUGGCGGCGUGCCUAACACAUGCAAGUCGAGCGGGAUCUUCCGGAUUGAAGCUUCGGCAGAUUGAAGGAAGUGAGAGCGGCGGACGGGUGAGUAACGCGUAGGCAACCUGCCCUUUGCAGAGGGAUAGCCAUUGGAAACGAUGAUUAAUACCGCAUAAGAUUGUAGCUUCGCAUGAAGUAGCAAUUAAAGGAGCAAUCCGCUAUGAGAUGGGCCCGCGGCGCAUUAGCUAGUUGGUGAGGUAACGGCUCACCAAGGCGACGAUGCGUAGCCGACCUGAGAGGGUGAUCGGCCACAUUGGGACUGAGACACGGUCCAGACUCCUACGGGAGGCAGCAGUGAGGAAUAUUGGGUCAAUGGACGCAAGUCUGAACCAGCCAUGCCGCGUGCAGGAUGACGGCUCUACGAGUUGUAAACUGCUUUUGUACGUAGGGUAAACCUAGAUACGUGUA